CGCCAGUGCUGGGGGGGCCUUGUCAGGCUGAGAUUGAAGCGCAAAGCUUCUGACCCCUUGAACCUGAUGCAGUUAACACUGCCGAAGGGAAGCCAUGAUAUUUUCAU
rnacentral:ncRNA from 2 species